UACGUACUCCCUCCGUCCCAAAAUUCUUGUCUUAGAUUUGUCUAAAAACGGAUGUAUCAAGUCACGUUUUAGUAUUAGAUACAUCCGUAUCUAGACGAAUCUAAGACAAGAAUUUUGGGACGGAGGGAGUACAAG
rnacentral:pre_miRNA from 1 species